GUAAGUGGCAAACGGGUGCGUAACACGUGGGAAUCUACCUGUCAGUACGGAAUAGCCCUUGGAAACAAGGAGUAAUACCGUAUAUUCUCUAACGAGGAAAGAUUUAUCGCUGACAGAUGAGCCCGCGCAAGAUUAGGUAGUUGGUAGGGUAAGAGCCUACCAAGCCUACGAUCUUUAGCUGGUCUGAGAGGAUGAUCAGCCACACUGGGACUGAGACACGGCCCAGACUCC
rnacentral:rRNA from 1 species